AAUACUGUUUGAUCCUGGCUCAGGAUGAACGCUGGCGGCGUGCUUAACACAUGCAAGUCGAGCGGGCAAUUUAUCUAGCACUGAUUACUUCGAAUGGAAAUCAUAAGUGUAAUCAUGAAUUUCUACCUUUAAUAAAGAAAAAAGAAAUUCAUGUACGCAAAUAGUGAUAACACAUGAAAGUGGAGUGAUGAGUGCUGGAUAAAUUGCUAGCGGCGGACGGGUGCGUAACACGUGGGUAACCUGCCCUUAUCACUGGGAUAACACACUGAAAAGUGUGCUAAUACCAGAUAACAUAAGCUUUUGGCAUCAUUAGCUUAUCAAAGAAUUUCGGAUAGGGAUGGGCCCGCGUCUGAUUAGCUAGUUGGUGAGGUAACGGCUCACCAAGGCAACGAUCAGUAGCCGACCUGAGAGGGUGAUCGGCCACACUGGAACUGAGACACGGUCCAGACUCCUACGGGAGGCAGCAGUGGGGAAUAUUGCACAAUGGGCGAAAGCCUGAUGCAGCAACGCCGCGUGAGCGAUGAAGGCCUUCGGGUCGUAAAGCUCUGUCCUAUGGGAAGAUAAUGACGGUACCAUAGGAGGAAGCCCCGGCUAACUACGUGCCAGCAGCCGCGGUAAUACGUAGGGGGCAAGCGUUAU
rnacentral:rRNA from 1 species